rnacentral:tRNA from 3 species
GGGGCUAUAGCUCAGCUGGGAGAGCGCCUCGCUGGCAGCGAGGAGGUCUGCGGUUCGAACCCGCAUAGCUCCACCA